rnacentral:rRNA from 1 species
GACGAACGCUGGCGGCGUGCUUAACACAUGCAAGUCGAACGGUGAAGCGCCUUCCUUUUUGGUGGGUGUGGAUGAGUGGCGAACGGGUGAGUAACACGUGAGUAACCUGCCCCCUUCUUCUGGAUAACCGCAUGAAAGUGUGGCUAAUACGGGAUAUUCUGGUGCUGUCGCAUGGUGGGUCUGGGUAAGAUAUUGUUUCGGUGGGGGAUGGGCGCGCGGCGUAUGAGCUUGUUGGUGGGGUGGUAGCCUAACACGGCGGUGACGGGUGGCCGGUCUGACUGGGACUGAGACCCCGCCGAGACUGAUACGAGAGCCAGCCGUGGGGAAGAUGGCACAAUGGGGGAAAGUCUGAUGCAGGGACGCGGCGUGAGGGAUGGAGCCCUUCGGGUUGUGAACCUCUUUCGCCAGUGAAGCAGGCCUGCCUCGGUUGUGGGUGGGUUGACGGUAGCUGGAUAAGAAGCGCCGGCUAACUACGUG